CUUGUGUUCCAGCUGGUGGGAAACACUGGUUUUUUCUCAACUCCACGUGGGCAUGUCACGUGCAGGCCUGGCCUGGGGUAGGCCUCAGCUCCAUCUCCUGCCAAUGCCGGCCAAUCUUCAUGGUUCAAGGUCAUGUAGCCUGAUGGUGAAGUGAAGGGGCCCUGUUGUUGACUCAGUCUUGCCACAUACUGUGUGACUUUAUUCAAGUUUCCUAACCUCCUGUGCCUCAGUUUCCCAGCCUGUGUUUGUUUCUGAAUGGUGCCAGUGCCAAGCCCAAGCCUGGCAUCCAGUAGGUGCUUCGUGCCAGGUUAUGGAAUGCCCGCCCGAUAGGAGGGCGCUGCCUUCUCUCACCUGCUCCAGCCAAGUGCCCACAGUCAGUCCUCCAUCAUGCCAGCUGCGGCCAGCAGAGGGCAGCAGCGCCCUGCCCUGCGCCACUGGGCAAAGGGGCGGGCAGAGAGAGGUUGGGCUGCCUGGCCAGGCUUGUUGGGAUGAGUCGGGCUGGGCACGAUUGCAUUGCGGGGAGGGAGGCUGGGGCUCCGUGAGACGUGCUCCUGGCACUGCCAGCUACUACUUGGCCCUUGCUGGUGGCCCGCCAGGACAAUGCCCCCCACAGCCAUCUCAUGCCCAUCACCACUGCCCUGGGGCAGCUGAACUGAGCGGAUGUGCCACGCCACCCACGAGACCCCUCUGCUGCACCACUUCAUGGCGCUGCUCUGCCCUGAGUCCCAGCGGCCCCACUCUUGGUUGGCAUGUGACCACACACCCAGGGCAACAUCUCUCUGUGGGGGACAGCAGGGGCCACAGCAGGGGCUGCUCUCACCUCUCACCCUCAGCGGCUCAGCCCCGGGUUCCCACCAGGCACACCCAGGAGCCAUCUCCAGUCUGGCACCCCUCCCUGCCCCUUCCCUGACCCCUCCCCCGGCCAGAUCUCCUGGUCUGCUCUUCUCCCGGGACACUGCCACACUGAGGCCCCCUGUGCCAGGCCCUGAGAGACCCAAACUGCUGGGGCCCAUGGGGCAGGAGCAGGCCUCCCUGCACCUCUGCAGCCUGUGUUGUCUCUUGGCACCCCUGGCUUCUCCCAGCACCCCUACUGGCUUGCCCCAGUGCUUCCUCACCCCGGAGCUGGGCGCCAGCAUGGAGCAGGCCAGCAUGGAACUGACCCCUGCUCCUCGCUGACUUGCUCCUUGCUCAGCCCGCGGCUGCCUGGCUCUUUCCCCCAGCUGGGGAGGGUUCCUCCUUGCAGCCGGCCCUGGCUGUCCAGGGCAGGUUUUCUCUCCCUGUCCAGUC
rnacentral:lncRNA from 1 species